UUCUGAAUUCGUCACCCAUUCUUAAUUCGUCACAAUCGUCGGUGGCUUUUAAUGUAGAAUGCGUGACGAAAGCAGAAUAGGACUUAUUUAAGAACUUGACGAAAAACGAAUGGGACGACCCAAGGACGAUACCAAAUACCGCAAUUUAAUGAAACUCGCAUGCGAGUUCUCGCACCGUCUAAAUGAGCCUUAAGUCUUUACCGGGCGAUAACUCUUAAAGUUAAGGGAGUUGUAUAUAAUUAAGCCUCGUGAAUGUCAGCUGCCACUCCGUUGGUAGCCGUUGAGGUUGAAAGACGUACAAACAUUCUUAGACAUUAACUACUUUACGAGUUACAUCCCGGGAAGCAAUAACUAACGAAAUUUUUAGAAACAAACAAUGAUUUUAACAGCAGUUGCAGCAGCAGUAUGUUUGUGCGGUUGGUAUUUUGUGUCCUGUGUUCAACCGUCCCACCACCAACCAACCUCCAAAAAAUGUGUAGUUACAUACUCAUAGGGUAUAACGUUCCAAAUGUUUUACUUAAAGAUAGAUAUAGCUAGUUUACCUAUAACUAAGAACGUGUAUGUGUAUAAAACAUUUUAUAUAAGCAAAGAGGAUUUGAAGAAGAGAGUUACUGUCAUGGUAAAUUAUGUAGCUACCUCAUUUACUGCCAUCUUUUGACAGAAGAUUAAACCUGUUUGAACGCCAUUUGACUUUGAUCCUUAUUCUUAAACUGAUAUCAUAGGCUGAAGGUUGUGGCGCCAUCGCUCGAAAACAUGGAACCAUACCUUUGGCCUAUAGUCGAGUAGAUGGCGUGAAUAUUAAUAUUUAAUAAGUUAAAACAUAUCACUGAAAGAAUAAGGAUCAAAGUCAAAUGGCGUUCUAACAGUUUUAUGUUCUGUCGAAAGAUGGCAGUAAAUUUACAGUGGCUACAUAAUUUACUUUGACAAUCCUUCUCUAUAGACUUUAUUCUCUUUGAUAUAAGUAAUAUAAUAUUAUGAAAACAUCAAUUGCAAACCAUCUUGGAACAAUAAGUUAUUUUAUAUAAUAAACAUGCGUUGAUCGCAAUUUUGGAUGCAAUUCGUUUUACAGAAUUAACAUAGCUACAAUUUACAAAAAAAAACUAUUAUUCUUUAAAAAAAACUCAUAAUUUAUAUUCAAGUCUCAUUGUUGCAGUAAGAAGCGAAGUAAAACUUUAUUUUACAUUUAUGACCUUACUAUAAGUGGAGCAGUAACUACACUCAAGAGUAAUUAAAACAGAUCACUUUGUAAAAAGAUUAUAUGCAAAUUGGUCCAUUUUCUUUGUUCUUGAGUAUACACAAUAACAAUAGCAAUAGAAAUAACAAAAUUCGUUUUUACUGUAAAUUAUGAUUGUAUACUUGAAAUUAAGCCUCGUUUACACUUGAGUUAUUUUAGUUUGGUUUAGUUGCAAGUGUAAUCGGGCCGGCAUGCCCAAAUGUAAUAAUUAUGAAUAAAUAUUUAUAAUGAA